rnacentral:lncRNA from 1 species
CCUAACAACUCUAGUAGAUUCUUAAACAAAUUACAAUUUAAGAUUAGCAAAUAUAAUCAAACAUCGAUGAAAUUCAAUUAAAAUUUCAAAGAAAUUAUACAAAAAAUAGAAAAUAUUUCUAGAGAUACUUUAAAAAAAAUCAUAAAGAAAUAACAUGGAAAUUCAAAAAUAUACUAAAAUAGAAACUUUAAUUAAAUAUUAAUCAAAACCUAAUCAAACCAUAGUCAAAUCCUAAUUGAAUCCUAAUCAAAUCCUAAAAUAUUUGUAAUCAAAUCCUAAAUAAAUCCUAGUCGAAUCUUAAAUAAAUUCUAAGUAAAUUCUAGUCAAAUCCAAAAUAAACCUUAAAUAAAUCCUAAUAAAAUCCUAACAAAAUCUUGAUCAAAUACUAAACAAAUUCUAAUCCAAUCUUAAAUAAUCUCAAGUAAUUCCUAUAUCAGAUUUAAACCUCAAUUACUAAUGAAUGAACUACUAAUUUUAACUCAAAUUUUUCACACC